rnacentral:rRNA from 1 species
AACGAACGCUGGCGGCAUGCCUAACACAUGCAAGUCGAACGAGACCUUCGGGUCUAGUGGCGCACGGGUGCGUAACGCGUGGGAACCUGCCCUUAGGUUCGGAAUAACUCCCCGAAAGGGGUGCUAAUACCGGAUAAUGUCUUCGGACCAAAGAUUUAUCGCCUUUGGAUGGGCCCGCGUUGGAUUAGCUAGUUGGUAGGGUAAAAGCCUACCAAGGCGACGAUCCAUAGCUGGUCUGAGAGGCUGAUCAGCCACACUGGGACUGAGACACGGCCCAGACUCCUACGGGAGGCAGCAGUGGGGAAUAUUGGACAAUGGGCGAAAGCCUGAUCCAGCAAUGCCGCGUGAGUGAUGAAGGCCUUAGGGUUGUAAAGCUCUUUUACCCGGGAUGAUAAUGACAGUACCGGGAGAAUAAGCGCCGGCUAACUCCGUG